rnacentral:rRNA from 1 species
UACAGAGACUGCAAGCGUUAUUCGGAUUCACUGGGCGUAAAGGGUGCGCAGGCGGCCAAGUGUGUCAGGUGUGAAAUCCCGGGGCUUAACCCCGGAACUGCGCCUGAAACUACUUGGCUAGAGCAUUGGAGAGGGAAGUGGAAUUCACGGUGUAGCAGUGAAAUGCGUAGAUAUCGUGAGGAACACCAGAGGCGAAGGCGACUUCCUGGACAAUUGCUGACGCUCAGGCACGAAAGCGUGGGGAGCCAAAGGG